UACGUAGGGGGCAAGCGUUGUCCGGAUUUAUUGGGCGUAAAGCGCUCGCAGGUGGUUCGAUGCGUCGUGCGUGAAAGCCCCCGGCUCAACUGGGGAGUGUCGUGCGAUACGGUCGAACUGGAGGCCAGUAGGGGGAUGCGGAAUUCCGGGUGUAGUGGUGGAAUGCGUAGAGAUCCGGAGGAACACCAGCGGCGAAGGCGGCAUCCUGGACUGGUCCUGACACUCAUGAGCGAAAGCGUGGGGAGCGAACAGG
rnacentral:rRNA from 1 species